rnacentral:lncRNA from 1 species
CUUUCCUUGGGCUAAGGGAAAGAUGUAGCAAGCAGAGGUCUCACAAGGAUGAACGAGCAGGGAUGGUCAUUGGAGACACAUCCGGAAUAACCCGUCCGCCACGAUCACUGGCGCGGUGUUGACGGCGAGGGGCCAGGCACGCGUUUAACCCAAUGUGCCCACGGACCGCCCCUGUGAUGGGGCAUCAUCUCGUGCAGAUGAGAAAACGGGCUUUGGGAGGAAAGGGAUUACACCAUAACCAAAUGGAGAGAUUGUAUCGGAGAUGAUUGGAUCUGAAACCAGGCGUGUCUGACAGGGAGAACCAGACUCUCAACCAAUCCCCGUGGUUCGUGGUUCGCAGGACCGGAACUCUGCUCAUCCACUUACCCUCUCGACACUACUGCUUUCUGCAGCGCCUGGUACCUUUGAGAGUCAAGUUCUAUCUAGUGCAGUUCAUCUCAGAAGAGCCUCCGCUGUGAUCUUCCCCAGAUCCUGGACCCGUCCCACCCAUCUCCCUCUCUACUCAGCGCUCAGAAUCCCUUUAUGAAUCAGCAGGACAACUCUUGGCAUAUAUUAGGGGCUCGACAAGCAUUUGUCACCCAGAUAAUUACUUCCUUUUCAAAGCCUUUCCUUAGAAAAACUGGGAGUCUCCUAAGCUAUGUAUUUCCCCAUCAAGAUUAGGCACAGGGACGCAGAACUUACCAAUGCAUUUAUUCAUUAAUUAACACUCUGGCAAGUAUUCAAACAUUAUACUUUUCAUUCAAGUCUGGAAAACAGGUGAAAACUUCCUAUCUAAAGUCUCACUCCAAUGCUCAAGUUGGCAGAACAGCAUCAAAUUUGGAGCUCCUGCUGUGGCGUGAUGGGACUGGCGGCAUCUUCAGAGAGCUGGGGUGUGAGUCUGCUCCCCAGCCCAGCACAGUGGGUGAAGGAUCCAACAUCACUGGAGCUGCAUUUUAGACGGCAGCUCGGAUCUGAUCCCUGGCCCAGGUAUUUCAUAUGCCUUGGGGCAACCCCCCCCCCCAAAAAAAAUCAUCAAAUUUAUUUAACUCCAAACACUGUAAAAACCCAAAGAUAACUCCUGAGCCAGUCCCUCUCCCUCUCUCUCUCUCUUGAACCACAGUAAUUCUUUUAUGACGGUAUCCAGUGAAAAUCCCUCAUGGAAUUUUCUCUUAACAUGGAAAUGCAUAUGGCCUCUGUGGUACAACAGCUGUGUAACUACAUAAUUGUUUACAAAUGUGCAAAAUAAGUACCCAGACCAAUAAAAAAUAAUAACUUGGGCAUCCAUAAAGAAGAGAUACUAUAAACACGCAAUGGCCCAUACUUUCUCUAUAAAUAACUGUUGAAGCAAAAAUACAACCACCCAAACCCCUUAUUUCAAAUCCCCUUCCAUAAAGCAAACGGCGUUGGCAGUCUGGCAGCUAAUACCAUUGUGCUUUCCAAAGCGAAAAUGCUUUUUUAUUAACAUUUAUCAUUUAGGUGCCAUUAAAGUAACUGCAGUAAAAGUUGAUCCAUUUACAAUAAGCCACUUGGUGUCGAGUCCACUACAUUUUGAACAGGUUCCAGACCAGCACCCGGCUUCCCCACAACACCAAAGAGGGGGGAAGGACAGGGAGAGAAACAUAAACAGGAAGAGACGGUGCGACGGAAGGAGAGGAACCAUAUGGAGCCUUCCAAGUACGCUGGCCGCUACUGUCCGCCACAGCCCCCCGCCAGGCCCACUGCACUCCCAGCCCAAGGAAUUCUUCUUGGACUCUUCCAGGCAGCAAUGAAGGCCUGCCCUUCUGGACCUCUGUCUGGAGACCCCUCUGCCCUCCCUGCCCCCUCCUCAGUCCGGGGAAAACUCCUAUUCGCUCAUGAAAACCCAAUUUAAACUACCUCUUCCCCCAAGAAACCUUCCCUGUCCAACAUCAGAGAGCAAGUCACACCCUUUACAGCAACACCUCUGAACCCUCCGCUCUAACAAUUUGUGCCUUAAAUGCACAACUGCUGACCACCUACCAAAAGCCAAGGAUGAUUCAGAAGCUAUCACAGAUGCGGUGGCAAAGAAAGGGACACAGAACUUACACUCUCUAAAGCCAUACGUGCAUACACAAUGGAACAUCAGGUAGGAUUAGAGGAGCAUAUUACUUCAAUUGUAUUAUUUUAGGUUCUACACUACCACCACUUUUAUGCUGGCUGUCGCCUAGAGUGGACUAUCAACUCCUAUCUCUACAUUCACAUGGUUUCUCAAUUCAGCAAUGUCUACUGAAUUGACUUAAAUUAAAAAUCACAUGAACUAUUAUCACCGUCUGGACCAAGCACAAGGACUUGGGGGAGAGACUAAAUUUAUACAGAAGACCUCUGCUCUCAAGGAGCUAGGAGCCAAUGCCUGGGCAGCUCGAGUAAUGAUGGCUGUGAACAUAAUAUGGGAAAAAAAAUGCUUACCCUUCUGUAGGUGACUUCCUAUCGUCCUUGCAACAACCAGGAGAGGUGUCGUCACAGCCCCAUUUUACAGCUGAGAACCCCAAGGCAGGCCCUGUACCCUGAUCGUGGUCAAGGGGCAGGAUAUACCCUUUGAUAUACCCAUGAAAUGAACCUAAGAGGCUCCUCAUGAAGCCAGUGGGAUCAGGCAGAGGACACUGGCUAGAGAAACAGCUGCACACAAGAAGAGGGACAGGUAAUCGGUAAACUGAGCCUACGGACAAAAAGACCCUGGACUGCUGUGGUUAUCCUGCAGUUUGAUAAAUGGCUCCCUUCCUUGGGGUCCAUGGCUCUAAGGGAACCUCCUGAAAGGGGGUCUCAGGGCUCGACCAUGCUGCCACAAGAAGAGGAGCAGAGGGACCUGAUGGGAGACCUCACCUAGAAAGGGUGGUGCACGGGGGAUGCCAGACUUGGGAGGUGCCGUCUGUCUAUCAACAACUCCAGUCCUAAAGGGCCAACAGGAGUUUGCAGUGUGUUAGCUCCUACAGCGGCUGGAACAGAAGCACCACCAAUGGGCUCAGAAGGUCAGCAAGUACCCGUUCUGCAGAGAGGAGGCAGGCGCGCGAAGCCCAGGGGUCGGCAGAGCCGCCCUCCCUCCAAAGGCUUCCAGGGCAGGGCCUUCGACCUCCUCUGGCUUUGGGCGGCCCCAGAUGUUCCUCAGCUUUGGCCACAUGAUCCCUGCCUCCUCUCAUCUUUUGUGGGGGUCACAAGUCUGCCCAGAGCAGCAGGCCAUAGGGACCAAGCCACACAGUAAGGAAGGGCAACUGGUCCUCCAGCAGCCUUCUCUCCUGCAGGCUCCCACAUGCCUUCCCAUCAUUCCCUGCAGCUCAGGUGGCCAUGUGACACAAUCUGUGCCCACCACACAUAUGAGAAGUCAGAUUUUCCUGAUAAAAGGGUCAGAGGUAGCUGGUCCAGUCCUCUCUCCUGGAGGCUGAUGUCUAGGGCUGCAGUGGCCGCCCAGACCUCAGGGAAAUGAUCUGGCAUCGCAGGGCUGGUGACCCAGAACUCUGGCCAGGGUCGAGCAGCCGAGCCAGCUGAGCCAGCACCAGCAGGGCCUCCCUCUGGGCUUCUUAUCGAGUCAGAAAAGAAAAGGUUCUAUCUGUUCAAGCAAAUUUUCCUCACCAUCCCUUUAACUUGCAGCUGAACUCAUUCCUUAUUGAUAAACCUUCUAAUUGGCCUCCGUGUCUCCAAUCCUCAUCCAUGACCAUCCAGGCUCUACCCUGCGGCCAUGGCACUGGCAUGAGUCACGUUAUAUUGUACCAGGCCAUCUCAGAGGGCAUAGCUUAUGUAUCAAACAUACACCAUAUAUGAUGCCCUAUCGUAUAUGACAUCAAACACACGUUGUACCAUAUAUCACGUUUCAUAUCAUAGCAAUGUCUCUGUGGCUUAAAACAAGCCACAACUAGAAUAAAAUCUCAAGCCCUCACCACGGCUUGCAAGGCUGUGUGUGACAGGACCCCUGCCGCCCUCUCAAGCUUCACCUUGAACCUUCCUCUUCACAUUUUCUGCUCUAAUUCCACUGCCAUCUUUAGCGCCUAAAACAAGCUCCGGAGGCCCUGACAACUGCUUCCGCUGCUUGGUACACUCCGCCACGGGCUCUCUGAGUGGCUGGCUCCUUAUCGUCCUUCAUGUGACAAGGAGGCUAGAACAGUGCCCUACCCAGGGGACACGGAGGUCAAGCAAAGGAGGGAAAACCUAUCAUUCAUUGUGCAGAUGCCCUGUUUUAGAAGGGGGACCCCAAGGGAGAGCUCUGGGUUCAUGCAGUCCCCUGAAAUCGACAUGGUGUCUUCUGUUUCCCACUUCCUCCCCGUCCCAACAAACACAGUCCCACCGAAGUGGGCGUGUGCACAGGUGCCCACACAGAGCCCUCCUUCCCAGGUGGAGGGAGAGCCAGGCCCACAGCCAGGGUCCCACAGCCCAGGCCUUUAUGCCGCCUCACAUGCAAAUCAGAAUCCAAGUAUUGGUCAGCUAGGGCUGCGUAACAAAAUACUCCCACUGGGUGAACAACUCAAAUUCAUCUUCUCACAGGGCCGGAGGCUAGAACCCUUAGGUCCAGGUUUCGGUGUAGGUGGUUUCUUCUGAGGCCUCCGUCCUGGCCUUGCAGACGGCCGCCUUCUCUCGAGUCCUCACCGCCUUCUCACUGCAUCCUCAUCUCCUCUCGUAAGGAGGCCAGUCAGAUUGGGUUAGGGUUCACCCCACAGCCUCAUUUUAACCUAAUCACCACUUUAAAGGCCCUGUCUUCAAACGCAGUCAUGAUUUGAGACCCUGGGGCAGAGGGCUUUGACAGAUGAAUUCGGGAGGACACAAUUCAACCUAUAAUAGGCACCAAAUAAUAAUAACCUCAAAAGGACAGAACUUGCUUGUCUGGUUCCCAGAAAUUUCUCUGUCUAUUCUGGUGCACACUACGUCCUGUCUAGAAGCUCUGGAACCUGAUACUGGCGACUUCUAACCACCAUUUCCUGGCAGUCUGUCUCUUGAGACAUCCAGAUAAUACUGCAUUAUGGAAAUUUUCCAGCAUACCCCCAAAACAGAGAAGCCAGUUAAACACACCCAGAGCUGACCCAGAAUUAUCAACAUUUCCCAACCGGGAUGUGUUUACGCUACCCUCCCGCCAUGUUUCCCAGACUCGUUUAAAGCAAACCCCAGGCACCACCCCACCUCAAGUGCAAACAUGCCAGUGUACAGCUGUAAGACAAGACAAAUUCUGUUUAAAAGGGUGACCUGCACAAAUGAACACCACUUUCCUAAUACCGUCUAUUACCUCCUCCAUAUCCCGACUUCCCUGACGGUCUCAGAAAAGUGUCUUUGAUGGGGGUUCGUUUAAAUACAAAUGAAAACAUGCUUCACGCACGUGCUGCAGGUGAGGUUCUGUCUCUGUAGUGCCUUAAAUCCAAUGUACUAUCUUCCAGUCAAAUGCGCGCUCGCUUCCCACUCAGGGCACCUCCUCACGUAAGACAUCGCCACAGAGCAUCCAUCAUCUAAGAGGCAGGAACCCGGGGGCUCAGGCCUCUCAGCGGACCCAGCACAGGCUACCAGUGAUUUAAUGUCCAGGGGAGGGGGUCGGGCAGCUGCUGAAAGAGGUGCUCUUUCUAAGGACCUUGGUGUGAAUUUGGAUUCAUUUCAAUCGCACCUGCACACGGAGGGACUUUGUGAGGGGUGUUUGGGGAAUAACUGUGAUCGAUACCCAUGCGACGCGUGCAUUUCUAACUGGGAGUGUGUGCACAGGAUGGCGCUGAGGGGGCUCCUGGGUGCCCCCUCUUUAACGCUGAUCACUACACACAGUCAAUCACUCGCAGGGGAACCGGGGCCAACGUUUCUAUUCACAGCGUUCUGGAUCCCCUCACGGAAAGUUCUUCCCUUCGGCCUGUUCAGCCCUGAUGCAUUUAUCAGACCAUGUUACUAUAGGCGGAGGGAAGAAUAACAACACGUUUUUAGACGUUAAGUUUUAUCGUUCUGUCAUCUGUUCACACUUUAAUCACCAAGAUCUUUGGGGCUGGUCUUUCAAACUAUUAUUCCUGAACAGCUGUGUGCGCUAAAAUUGACCGUCUUCUUGGUUGAUGGAUCCACAAAAAAAUAUAAUAAUAAAAAGUUAAAUACUCAACAAAGCUCGGAAUGGCUGCAACCUCCUAGUCUUAAAAUUUUCCUCCAAAGCAUAUAUAACCACCUGACAGGAGCACCUUAUUCCCAUUUACUGAAGCAAUUAUUCCGCCAGGUCGUUACCGAAAAAGCCCCAGAAAUGGUACAUUUCUUCACAAGGGUGAGCGAUAUAUUUUAAAAUGGACAUUACUCCCUAUCACUUUGGAUAUUACAAACAAUUCACAGGAAACACUGAAUGAUUCGUGGUGUAGUUAUUUCUCUAUACAAAGAUAUAUUUAUUUCUCUUUGCAAAGGCCAGACUAGCAAGAAGAGAGGCAGACACACAGAAGCUUUGCCUAAUUUAGCCAGUUGGCUUUAAAGAAACU